rnacentral:rRNA from 1 species
UACGUAGGGUGCAAGCGUUAAUCGGAAUUACUGGGCGUAAAGCGUGCGCAGGCGGUGAUGUAAGACAGGUGUGAAAUCCCCGGGCUUAACCUGGGAACUGCAUUUGUGACUGCAUCGCUGGAGUGCGGCAGAGGGGGAUGGAAUUCCGCGUGUAGCAGUGAAAUGCGUAGAUAUGCGGAGGAACACCGAUGGCGAAGGCAAUCCCCUGGGCCUGCACUGACGCUCAUGCACGAAAGCGUGAGGAGCAAACAGG